CUCUCUAUGAGAUAUGGAUACCUUCUUCUGUCCAACCCUGAAAACCGCAACAGGAAUGCUGAAGGGCAGGAGGGUUAAUGAGAAGGUCCAACCCUGAAGGGUUAAUGAGAAGAGCUCUUCAGAAGCAGCAGAGAGAGGAGGCAGUAGAUGAAAUACAAACAAAAGCGGAUGGACAGAAGAGAGCAAAGAGAGAGGAGGCAGUAGAUGGAAUCCAAACAAAAGCGAGACAGAAGAGGAGUAUAUGCAGGGGAUUGGUCACGUUGCUCGUAGCCGACAUGGCGAAAUCACAGAGUUAGAGAGAUCAAUGGCAAGUGGGCCAAAGAUCAAGGGCAAGAGCGUCAAGAAGUUUGAGUUAGAGGUAAAUGGCAGGUUCGUAUCAGAGUUCGACAUGGAAAAAUCACCUACUCCAGAGUAUGUGAGAGAGAUAAAAGCCAGGCCAAUGCACUGUUCAAGCGAACACAAAUGUUCUCCGGUCUUCGGAAUAUAUGGCAUGCGUGGCGUCGGGAAGGGAAGAACAACUACUAUAAAAGCAAUCCAGGUUUUGAGACAUGAUAUUUAUUGCAAGCUCGUAGUUAAGACUGAUAUGUAUGUACUGAUGAUAUUAUGUUUAUGUUCUGUUUCUUUUUUAUGCUGCAGUUAAGACUGAUAUGUAUGUACUGAUGACAUGAUAUUUACUGCAAGCUCGUAGGUAAGAUAUUAUGUUUAUGUUCUGUUUUUUUUUUAUAUUGCAGUUAAGACUAAUAUGUAUUUACCGAUGCAUUUUAGACACGGCACAAUUUUUAUUAAAAGUUUGUGUCUGUUUUUUUCUAAAUAUUGUAUAUUAUAGUUCUUUAUAUUGCAGCUCAAGGGCGGCACAGAGAUUGAAUCUCUCCCUCGUAUGAAUCUCUGUGUCUUUAUAUUGUUAUAUUGUCAUACUCGGAGUGGUUAAAUGCAAAGCGAAUAUUCAAUGAGCAAUGAACUACAUUCCCUCUCGGAAUUCUUAUGGAAUGCUUAAAUGCAAAGCGAAUCGAAGUGGUUAAAGUCAAAGCGACUCAAUUGACACUAUGGUUAAAUGCAAAGUGAUUGAAUUGAUACUAUGGAGUGGUUAAAUGCAAAGCGAAUCGGAAUGGUUAAAUGCAAAGCGUAUUUCGAGCAAUGAGCAAUGAACUACGGUCCCUCCUUGAAUUGAUGCAUUUCAAGCAGAAUUGAUGCAUUUCGAGCAAUGAACUACAGUCCCUUCCUGAAAUGACUUAUUUCGAGCAAUAAGCCCCUUCUUGAAUUGACUUAUUUCGUUCAAUGAGCAAUGAACUACAAUCCCUUCUUGAAUUGACUUAUUUCGUGCAAUGAGCAACUUCCUGAAUUGACUUAUUUCGAGCAAUGAGCAAUGUACUACGGUCCCUUCCUGAAUUGACUUAUUUCGAGCAAUGAGCAAUGAGCAAUGAACUACAGUCCCUUCCUGAAUUGACUUAUUUCGAGCAACGAGCAAUGAUCAAUGAACUACAGUCCCUUCCUGAAUUGACUUAUUUCGAGCAAUGAGCAAUGAACUACAAUCAUUUCCUGAAUUGACGCUAUGGAGUGGUUAAAUGUAAAGCGAAUUUCAUUGAUGAGCACUAUGGAGUGGUUAAAUGUAAAGCGAAUUUCAUUGAGAGCAAUGAGCAAUGAACUACAGUCCCUUCCUGAA